AGAGGUGUAAGCCCUUAAAACGGCCAGGAACUCUGUCUUCGGGGAGCUCUGUUCUUGAGACGCGAGUCUGCCGAAACUCCCAGGCGAAUAAAGCCAAAUCCUUCCUUAACCUGGUGUCUGAGGGGUUUUGUCCACGGCUCAUCCUGCUACCUUUCUUAGUUCCCUGACCGGGAAAUCGGGUGACUGAUGGACGGUGGAGGCAGCCCCUUAGGCAGUUUAGGCCUGCCCUGUGAAGUAUCCCUGUGGGCGGCUCUGGCCAGCUUGAGUGACGCAGAUCCUGAGAGCGCUCCUGGUUCACCCUUUCUCCCCAGGUGAUCGGGUAUGGAUCACGGAUUGGAACAUAGCCUCCUUGCAGCCACGGUGGAGAGGACCCCAGACCAUCGUCUUGACCACUCCCACAGCCAUAAAGGUAGAAGGAAUCCCAGCCUGGAUUCACCACAGCCAUGUAAAACCUAAAGCAUCUGAGACCUGGGAGGUGAGACCAAGCUUGGACAACCCAUGCAAGAUGACUUUGAAGAAGAUGACAAGCCCUGCUCCAGUCACACCUGGAAGCUGACUGGUCCGUGCAUGGCUGAAGCAUGAGGAAACUCAUCGUGGGACUCAUUUUCCUAAAAUUUUGGACUUGUACAGUAAGGACUUCAACUGACCUUCCUCAGACUGAGGUAGGGCAAAAAGUUAAAACAGACUUUCUGUUUAAAAGGGACUUGUGUGUAUAAUGCUACCCAGUACAAGAUAUGCAGCCCAAGAAGUGACCAGCUUGAUGUGUGCUAUAACCCAUUGGAACUAGUUUAUCCCUGUUGGAAAACAGAGUAUGUAACUCUAGGAAUUGAUGGAACUGGACUGGAAGACCUGGGUAGUGAAGAUGACAGUGAGAACUCCCACUAGUGAGUGAGAUUCUCAAAGGGGGGAAUGAGAAGUGAGGCCAUUUCUCUUACUGUCUCCUGUCUCUGAAGAGGAGGAGGAAGUAAAAGUUGAAAAACAACAGGAAUGAAGUCAUUGGCAAGACCAGCCGGUGCCACUGAUGACCAGGCCUGAGGUUAAAAGAUCAACCCCCCACUCUAACCACAUGUGCUCUCAAUCUAUCAUGACCCUUUCAUGUGGACCCCCUUAGAGUUGUAAGCCCUUAAAAGGGCCAGGAACUCUGUCUUCAGGGAGCUCGGUUCUUGAGACAUGAGUCUGCCAAAGCUCCCAGCUGUUGAGAUGCGAGUCUGCCAAAGCUCCUGGCCGAAUAAAGCCAAAUCCUUCCUUAA
rnacentral:lncRNA from 1 species